rnacentral:rRNA from 1 species
AUUGAACGCUGGCGGCAGGCCUAACACAUGCAAGUCGAGCGGAUGAAGGGAGCUUGCUCCUGGAUUCAGCGGCGGACGGGUGAGUAAUGCCUAGGAAUCUGCCUGGUAGUGGGGGAUAACGUCCGGAAACGGGCGCUAAUACCGCAUACGUCCUGAGGGAGAAAGUGGGGGAUCUUCGGACCUCACGCUAUCAGAUGAGCCUAGGUCGGAUUAGCUAGUUGGUGGGGUAAAGGCCUACCAAGGCGACGAUCCGUAACUGGUCUGAGAGGAUGAUCAGUCACACUGGAACUGAGACACGGUCCAGACUCCUACGUGAGGCAGCAGUGGGGAAUAUUGGACAAUGGGCGAAAGCCUGAUCCAGCCAGGCCGCGUGUGUGAAGAAGGUCUUCGGAUUGUAAAGCACUUUAAGUUGGGAGGAAGGGCAGUAAGUUAAUACCUUGCUGUUUUGACGUUACCAACAGAAUAAGCACCGGCUAACUUCG